AAUAUAACCUUUACAAUUUAUAAAUAUAAUACCGACCGUCCCUAGAGCAAGUGACAAAGAGCUUGGCGGUUGGUACCCGAAACUCAAAUUCGAAUCCUAGUUGAUUCAUAUUUCUAACUAAGUUUAUUUCUAAAUGAAAUAAACGAAAUGGGUAGCGUGCUACCUAUCCCUUAAAAAAAAAUUUACUGUACUAUUAGAAGUACAACAGCUCUCGUACGCUAUAAGUUUUUAACCAUUUCAUCAAAAUUGAGAAAAAAAAUCAAAAGAAAGAAAAAAAAAUGAGACAUCCAUUUUUUUUUUUCAAAUUUUUUUAUCUCUUAUCCUAAUCAUCUAUUAAAAUUGAUGUAUGUUAGAAACUUAAGAGUUCGUGCAUGCAGGCUGCUGUACGCCUAAUAGCACAAUAAGUCGG
rnacentral:lncRNA from 1 species